CCAGAUGCUCUGUGUCACCGGCUUAGUAACAUACCCCAUUUAGGAGCAUGAGCACAACUUGUUUGCAGUGGGAAUGAAUUAACUGAAUUCUAGAUAUUGUUUUUUGGCUGCCUUUUUUUGUUUGUUUUUAUUUCAAACACAGCUAACUAAUCAGGGCUGUGGACACCAAGAAUGCCAACUUUGAUUCUUCAAGGAAAAUCAGCAGCUGACCACACACCACCCUUCCUGGUCCUCCCCGAGAUGCCAAGAACAUCCAAAGUCUGCAGUUUUGAGAUGUUACCCUUCGGAUGCAUACCUCAAUCUGCCUGAAAAUCAUGGAAUUCUGGAGAUGGAAGGGACCUCAGAGAUUUUCUGGUUCUCUCUGUUCUGGUUGUAAGUGUUCUUACCACACACCACUCCCAACCAUGGGGAGCCUUUCCACCACUGAAGAGAGCUGGGGUUACUAAAGCCACAAUCAGCUUCUCUGCAACUUCUAACCAUUUGGCUAAGAUCAGUUUUUCUGAAACCACAAAGAAAAAAAAUCUACGAACAAGUACUAGCGUACCAAUGUUCACAGUAGCAUUAUUCACAAGUCAUAAGGUGGAAGCAACCCAAAUGUCCAUCAACAGAUGAAUAGGUAAACAACAUGCGGAAUAUACAUCCAAUGGAAUCCUCUUCAGCCUCAACAAGGAAGGAAAUUCCAGUGCAUGCUAUAACAUAGAUGGACCUCAAGGACACUGUGCUAAGUUAAUUAAGCUAGACACAAAAGGACAAAUGCUGUAUGACUCCACUUGUAUGAGGUCUCUUGAGUAGUCAGAAAGCAGAAUGGUGGCUGCCAGGAGCUGGGGGGGGGGGCAGGAAGAAUGGGGAGUUAUUGUUUAAUGGGAACAGAGUUUCUGUUUGGGAUGAUGAUAAAGUUCUAGAAAUUGAUAGCUGUGAUGGUCACACAACAUUGUGAAUAUAAUUAAUGCCACAGGACUGUAUAUUUAAAAAUGAUUAAAAUGGCAGAUUUUAUGUUAUGAUAAAAAAAUACAAAAAGAUAAAUCUACUCUCCCUUCAGGGGAAGACAGCCA
rnacentral:lncRNA from 1 species